GUCAGGAUGGCCGAGUGGUCGAAGGCGCCAGACUUAAGACGUGUACCGAGUCUUCUGGUCCUCGUCUGAGGGCGUGGGUUCGAACCCCACUCCUGACA
rnacentral:tRNA from 1 species